rnacentral:rRNA from 1 species
UACGUAGGCAGCGAGCGUUGUUCGGAAUUACUGGGCGUAAAGAGUGUGUAGGCGGUGUUCCCAGUCUGUUGUGAAAUCUCCCGGCUUAACUGGGAGGGUGCAGCGGAAACUAGAAUGCUAGAGGGUGGGAGAGGUGAGCGGAAUUCCUGGUGUAGCGGUGAAAUGCGUAGAUAUCAGGAGGAACACCUGUGGUGUAGACAGCUUACUGGACCACUUCUGACGCUGAGACACGAAAGCGUGGGUAGCAAACAGG